UUCNGCCUCUAGCCUUUCGUGUUACUUGACCU
rnacentral:piRNA from 1 species